rnacentral:lncRNA from 10 species
UCCGCCUCUUAGUGAGCAUGCUUGAGCCCACUCGUCCAACUCCUGAAAUCUUAUCAAGAAGCAGUUGAUCACUAGUUUCAGGUGUUUCUAUCCUUUGGGAGACUGCCUUUUCCUGGUGCUGGCUGCAACCAAUUGUUAUUUUAGAGAGAUACUGUAACAAUCACCUGAGAUAUCUUGGUAAGUGAGUAGGGAGUGUUCAGCCCUCCCCUACCCUGCUCAUGUCUGACUAGCUACCUACUGUAACAGCUCUGGAUUUAACUACUGUUUUUUACAAUUAGCAGGUACCUCCAUUGGGGUCACUGACUUCCCGCAACACACACUCUAUCAGCUGAAAUAAGUGGAGACUUUGCUGAUCUUCUUACCAAGGACAGAGGGCUAUGGAGGCUGAUACAGCAGGCACCUCAUGGAAACAGCAUUCAUACAUUCUGCUUUUGCUGCCUGAAACGACUCGUCUAUGUCCUGUGCUACUUGCUGCCUUCAUCGUUCUCACUGCUGAGUGCCAGCAGAGCACGCCCUAUGGAGAUUACUUGGACACAUCUGGCACCCUCUGGCACGCAGCUGGCUUGAGACUGGAUCUCACUACUUGCCUAGCUCUUGAACUCCUGGCCUCAAGCAAUCCUCCUGCCUCAACCUCCCAAAGUGCUGGGAUUACAGGAGUGAGCCACUAUGCCCCACAUGUAUUCUCCCAUUUGAGAAAACAAUGAACAAAUCAGUGAGAAGAAGCAAGCAGCUUAUAUUCUUUGAUAUUCUCUGCUAUUCUGGUUUUUGGGGAAAAUAUUUCAUAAUCAGUCCUCCAAAAUUGAAGUGAUGUGAAAGAAUUGGCAGAUAUUUAAAUAAAGGACCCAUAAGUAUAAAAUAAAUGGAAACUGUAGUAAUGAGGCUAUGAAAUAUAUAAGAUGGUUUAUUCAUAGGUAAUACAGACCUUCCAGAGAAAAGUUUAUACGCCUCACAGAAAGGACAGGGACUUUGAAAUUAACAAUGAACUUCUUUAGAAAUUCUGACUUUAAUAGUUAACAUUUGUAAGACUUGAAACAAGAUAUCUUGUUUAAUAAACUCCACAAACCUCAAUUUUUUUACAAGAUGGGGAAAAUAAUGGCUACCUUAGAUGAGUAUUGUGGGGAUUAAAGUAAAUAGAUAUAAAAUAUCUAAAAGAAUGCCUGGGGCAUUGUUAGUGUUGUAAUAACUUAGUUUCAUAAAGCUCCAGUAAAUAGUCAUGUACAUAUUAUUUUUUAGAAGUAUGAAGUUCAGAAAUAUUUGUGAUCCCUUUUCUUAUUUGCAGUCUUCUCAGUACUAAAUGGAAUGACUAAGGGUAUCUUUAAUUAUUAAACAACUCCUAACCUGAAAACAAAUGGAUUACAUUGGUGGCCGACUCACAGAGAAAGUUUAUGCAGAUAGAAUCUACAUGGCCAAUUCAAAAAAAGGACACAUUUUUAGAAACGAUAUCCAGGAUGUCACAAUACCUUGUCUACACUCAUCAAUUUUAUUGUCACCUUGCCACUAUUGAGCUUAGUGUUGACACUUCCCAGAGCCCAGAAGUUGCCCCUAAAAAUUAUGAAUUCCACACUGGGAAAGCAAGGUAAAGUAAUUCUUUUGUUGGGUUAUUGAUGCUUUGGAAGGGACAUAGAGAUAUGGAUGCAUACAUAGCUCAAAAUAAAAGAGAAUUUAUUCUGGAACAUGGCCAAGAUAAGAAUGUCACCUAAGUUCACCAGGCCAUCAUUUGAGAGUAGCUUCAGCAGAUUAAUACAUCAAAAAAGCCAAUAAAACAAAACAUUGAAAUGUAAUUAUUUAUUAAAUACUUGAAGGAAUUACAGUAGUUGAGUUGAAUCAUAUUUUUUUAAAAAGAUGAAGAAGAAAAACACAGCCUUUAAAAUUUCUCUUUCGAUCCCCUUUUUCUCUUUUCCUGAAAUUCUAAACCUCAAGGAAGUUGACUUAUAAGAUGUUCCUUUUUUAAAAUCAACCCACUCUCAAAAUUCC